rnacentral:lncRNA from 1 species
GGAGGUGAAUGAGCUGUUAAAAGCAAGGCAACAUGCACUCGUUUCUCUGUAAGAUUUGGAAUAGUAAUAAGGUGCUUAAUUGAUCCUAAGAAAUCUGAUUUUCAGACCAUGGAACCGACUAAAGGGAAAAGGAGUUAUCAAUACCAAACCAAUACUUGCUAUGGAUGCUUCACUGUGAACGCGAAGAUGGGGCCCUUGUUUAGAUCUUAUACAUGAAACCUCGGUGUUAAUUUGUAAAAGGUUUUUCUCUGCCUCCAUACAUGAUGAUGAAUUUCUUUUUUUCCUUUUCAUCUGUUUUCUCGUCUAGAUGGAGUGGACUGUGCUCAUGACUGGUUUAAGUGUUUGUGCACAUGCAGCUUCUGUGAAGGAAGUUUUUCUCGACUACUCCAACCAUGUAAAGAGGGUGAAACAUAAGCUGGGUAGCAGUAUAGGCUCCUGACAUGUGCUUUAAGCACCUUCUCGUAAAAGAAAUGGAUAUAUUUGAUCAUUGUUAGCUGAAAAUGUUCUAAUUUCAGCAUCUGUAAGUUGGCCUUUUGUGGCUAGGAUAGGAUGGCUUCCUCCCACUUGAAGAUUCUUCUUGUGGUUUAUAGGAAUGUGCAAUGGCACAAGUUCAGACUCGUAAGAAAUGAUGCCGCCCGUCUUUAAUAUUUCAAAAAUGGAAGCUGUGUUUGGUCUUUUAUUUCAUUAUUUAUGUUGGUUCCUAUCUUUCAUCAAGAGUUCAAAGAUACAUCUCCCUGUAUCAAUGUUUUCUAUUACUUAGUGCUUGAAUGAGGAACCAUAGCAGGACUAACGAUUUAUCCAUUUCUUCUGUCACAUGUAACAUUUGCUAAUAUGAACACUUAAAAGUGAGCCACUGAACUUUCAGAAAUGGCUCAUCUAUGCCCUCCGUUAAAAGUUUGCUAUAUUCAUGCCAUCGACAUUAAAGAAAUGGCCUAAAUAUGCCAUUCCUCCG